AGCUGGACUGGAAUCAGAUGAUUGAUAUUUUCCUGGCUGCCAGCUCCUGCUUCAUCCUCAAUGGCCAGACUCAUGCCCUUACUGAGAAAAUCUACUAGAAGGAAAGAUCUCCAUGCACAGGCAAAGCACAUGUGGUAUUAGCAAGUUUGGCACCUUUAUGGAAGAGGCUUACCAGUAUGAGGUUGCACAGAAUAAACAGCCACCUCUUAAGAGAGCUGCAGGGGGCGCCUAUUUAUACUUACAGCAAAUUCAUCAAACAUUCAGAGAAGUGAUGAAGGAUAGAGUACAAGAGAUUUUGGCAAUGAGAUUUUGGCAGUGGCAUCAUCAGUUUCAUCAGAAUCAGGGCUUUGAAUCAUGAUUUCAAUCACAAGAUUUUGUCGGGAAAUGGGAGCAGCCUUCCUAGAAACUCUGACCUUGCAGAGGCCUUCUGGAAGCACGUGAUGAAACCUCAGGCAGCUUGUUCUUUUGACAAGAGAAAAAGAAAGCCCAUUGUCAAAACAAUUUGCCAAGCUUGAACAUUUGUGAGCACGAAUGAGUCAUAAAUAAUUGUACAUUUUUUUAAUAUUAUUUCUGUGAAGGAAAUACAUUUUCAAUGCAAUAAAAAUCCAUUACAGGCAC
rnacentral:lncRNA from 1 species